UUUUUCCACAAAGUACAGGAAACACCCCAAAACACAACAUAUCCCCAUAUACAUCCCCUGCUAGCACUGAUCUGGGUGAACAACAUAUCCAAAAAUCACCCAGAUCAGAAGAGGGGUUCAGGAAAUUCCUGGAAGUCUCUUUUGACCGACCGCACACAUGAUCUCAGUUCCAGAGAAUCAGGGCUUGCGGCCGGACUAGUUUGUUAG